UACGGGGGGGGCAAGCGUUGUUCGGAAUUACUGGUCGUAAAGGGCUCGUAGGCGGCCAACUAAGUCAGACGUGAAAUCCCUCGGCUUAACCGGGGAACUGCAUCUGAUACUGGAUGGCUUGAGUUCGGGAGAGGGAUGCGGAAUUCCAGGUGUAGCGGUGAAAUGCGUAGAUAUCUGGAGGAACACCGGUGGCGAAGGCGGCAUCCUGGACCGGCACUGACGCUGAGGAGCGAAAGCCAGGGGAGCAAACGGG
rnacentral:rRNA from 1 species